rnacentral:lncRNA from 1 species
UCGCUGCAGAAGCCUUCUGUCCCCUGCCUGCCCCGGAAAGCGGUGACAUCCCGGGGCUUUCCGCUCGCUGGAAGCCCCCCAGGAUCCUGUUAAGACGCCCCCGCAGAAGACGCGGGGCCUCGCCACACAUCGGGGGCCGAAGAGGACCUGGCGGGCUCCCCUCCCCGCCCCCACUGGGCGCCCAGCCUCCGGACUGCCUUCCUCAGGGACCCCGGGGCUCCCCAGUACGGGGGCGCGGCGCCUGGCUCCCCGGGCGAGAGGCGCCGGCGAAGUUCCCACCUGAGCCGGCGGCCGGAUGAGUUCACUUUCUUUCUCUCCCCCGCGCUCCCCCUCUCCCCGCCCGCCGGCCCCUCCAGCCUCCUCCAAGGCGGCGGACCAGGCCGGGCCGGAGUUUUCGGGGUUCAGCCCGCGAGCGGGAGGACCGGGGAGGCGAGGGAGGAGGAAGGCGAGAAGGGCCAUGUGCGAGGGAGAGGAGGAGAGGAGAGGAGCCUACCAUGCGCUUCCCCCGGUGCAGAUCGCGGGAGAGCCCAAUCACGGGGCGAGCUGGACCUGGCUGUGAUCAUUUAUAAUCCUUGACUCCUCCGCUCCGCCACUUGUCAAGAUGACAAUGCUGUGACCAAUCAGUGCCUUUACUACUCUCGCCGUGAUUUAGGGGUCAUCCGUGAAUAACACUUCACGCUGAUGAAUGGCUCUUGCCGGCUUUCGGCUCUGAUGAGGGGUCUGCCCGCCGCCGAUUGAAAACACUAAUGAACUUACUGCGCCAUUUGAAAUUCACACGCACCAACAAAAUGGGGGGUGGGCAUUUCAGGUCAGCUGAGUCACCCGAGGAGGUGGCAGUGCAAGACACUGCCGGGAAGACGGAUUCCGAGGCAGAAGGGUGUAAUUAAGGAUUUCCACCCCCGGUAGGCGGCCCGUCCUUUGCAGAGCCUCUGAAAAUGACCCGCGCCUUCCUUUCCACAGUGUUCUUUCGUCCGAGACCGAAAAGCGCAAAUGACCUUUGGACAGGGAAGGGAGGCAGUAAACACUCAGACUUCCUUACCAGCCCCUGGUGGGCACUGCAGCAGAACAAUUGUCUGCCCCCCAGGUUCAAGCACCUAGGCCUCCGCCCCGCAUCACCUGGCCAGGGGCGGACCCGGGAGUCCUCCGAAGGCUCCACUCCCCACUUUUACUACUCUUCUUUCCUCUCCAUUCUCCCCUCAGAUUAGCGGCCGGACACUGUCCCUGCCUCGAUUUUGUUUGCUGUGGGAGGGAAAAAAAAAGUUUGCUGCUCCUCCCAAGACACUGGCCACUUUCUACUCACUGAAGUUCCCACCGCAGCGCUGGCUCCCGGCUCCCUAGCUCCCGCCCCCUGUCUGCAGGAAAGCCCUCCCCCGGAGCUUCCGAAACUGCUGGAGGUUCCAGAGUUUUGUAGCUCCGAAUGGGCGACCUGAGCCGAACCGCUCUCUGGCUGGGUGGUCGGCGGGAUCCUUCAGGCUCCUUUCGGGUCCGGGACGGGGCGGCGGCAGAGGUGGGGCGUGCGUGCUUGGGGCUGCCGAGUGAGUGCGGCUCCCUGGUGCGCGCCCGAGCAUCUCCCCGCCCUCUCCUGGGACCAGCAGUCUGCCCGUGGAGGGCUAGGAGCCCGCGACCAGGCCUGCCCCGGCCGUCGCCAACCUGUCCUUGGAAGCGUGGCGGAGACUGGUGCGCUCUCAGCCUCGUCGCGCCAGCCGCCUCGCGCCACCCUCCACUUUCAGCUUCAGAGCAGAGGAUUCCGCCGACCUCCACCUGUACCUGUACUCGGCCGUUAGGAAAUCCACUUGCAUUUUUAACUACCGUGCAGAACCAGAAACAGAUCGAGCACUGGGAGAACAAGGACGACGCCUCCUAGGAAAGCCUGAACCUUUAUGUUAGUUUAUCCAAAGUUUGGGCUAGAAGUGAGGAGAAUCCCUAAACUCGAGGUGGUGUGCCCAGACCCACAGCCCGUGUUCCCGAAGUUGCUAAGUGCCCGAGCGCAGCGCGUUAAGUAGAGAAGUCUUGGUAGUAAGCGAACCCGACCCGGCUCUCGGGGCGCUAGUGACGGAAAGCAGCACGCAUAUCUUUGCGGGAAGAAUCUAGAGUCGCCCUGGGAUAGAUCCAUCUCCUUCUGCCACUGAAUUUCACACUUGAAAAAGAUAAGGUCAUGGGGGCGGAUGAAUGAUAUCCCUCACUCAUUUAGCCAUUCUUAUUAUUAUAUAAAAAAAAGGCUUGUCAAUUAUGAAGGUGUGUCCCAGAUAUUACAUGAAGAUCAUGCAAACUACUUGAAAUUUGAAUCCGGACAUGAUCGUAAGGAAACUCUUUCAUAAAGCACUUUUGUGGCCUAGUUCCCACACACACACAAAAGUAUUAGGUCUUUAAAACUUUUCCAAGUAGUAAGUGAGACUCCCUCUUACUGUCUACGAAUACACAAUAAAGAGAUGAGACACUGCCCCAAUCCUAAAGAGGCCAGAACUGAAGUGCUACAUUGUGUGAGUUAGGGGAUGCUUCUUUUUUCCAGCUCUUUUUUCUAGAAUCCUCAUUACAGCUAACGCUGGUAAUAAAGGUAGGAAAACAAUAGAACUCAUAAAACUUAGAAAUGGUAAUAAAUCUUGGCUCCUGUCUCUAGCCCAGUUCCUUCUUACAUGAGAUUCAAAGUUUUUCAGUAUGCAAUGCUGAACGUUCACACUAUGGUUGCAAAGAAGUUCCAUCAUUUGAGGCCGUUAGGAAAAGCUGAUGUUGUGCAGUGCCAAACUACCACACGCUUCCUCCUUCGGAUGAAUCCCUGGAAAGCAGAGAGGCAGCUCGCUACGUGACCAUCAUGCUUUUUACCUCACUGAGCUGUUGUCAAGAGAGGGCGGGGAUGGCGGGCAGCUCACGUCGUGCCCUCCGCAGCAAUAAAAACUGGAGCGGGAGAAGAAAUGCAAGACAUCGCUGUCUGUUUUGCAAGCCUCUGGCCGCUCUCAGCAAACUCUGCCCGGCGCGGCUGGUGACUUUGCGGGUUGGGGAGAAAGCUGAAUGCCUUUGACACUGCCUGUACCACUUUAUCUGCCUUCCUGCCUCUUGAUAACACUGGGAGUACUUGAAGGAGAAUGCUGCGGUUUCACAGAGCCAACAUUAUUCUCUACCUCCCCUUCCUCUUCCUCUUUCUUUAUGGAUGGCAAACAGCGUUCAGAUGACAGAUUUUGGAAAAUUGUCUUAGGAGACGCAUUCUCAGGCAGUUCCAGUGUAUUGGUAUUUUGGAUGUUUCUCUGCAUUUUGUCAUACGGUUCAGAAGGGUGAUAGGCUUUCUGUGAACUGCUGGGCUUCAAGAAGGCUAUUAUCUUCCACUCAGGUUUAAUGGAGGAAUUUAUGGGAUUUUGCCACCUUGUGAGGUUCAGUGCUAGAAUUUCUGCGUUGGAUGGAUCAAGAAUCUACGGGGAGCCAAGUCACUUAAAAGUAUCAGCCUGAGGGUAAAAGGUGAAGUGACAUCUUUACUGAGACCUUCCCGGUCAGAUGCAAUCGGAUUGACUGAAAGCUCUCAGAACGAAACGAAAUUCUCCCACCUGGGCAGCACGUGCUGGCCAGAGAAAUGACUGAUGAGGAGUCAGCUCUGCACUACUGCUGGACAACAAUUUCAACAUCUCAUUUAAAACUAAAGCAGUGAGUUAAGGUGGUUUCUGAAUUAUGUAUUAAACUCAGCUUCCAGAUAUGUUAUUCCCAAUAUUCCCUUCAUCUAAUGAAGUUCCUCCAAAUUUCAUGAUCCUUGUGACAAUCCACCCCAGACUAUGGUGAGAGACCCAGAGCUGCAGCAGUUUUGGUUGUGGUUAUUCUGACAUUGACCCGAAGGGAGCAAGAAUGUUUCUCAGGAGCCCUUGCCUGGACUCCCCUUCCAGACCACAACUUCCCCGGUGAUAUGGGACCCUGGAGGAGGAAGUCUACAAUGUGGGAGAGAUGAGUUACCAGGAAGAUAACCUUUGCACUCAGAAGGCUUGCGAACCCCAGAGGAGACUGUCUGUCUGAGAGAUCACCUUACCCACACUGUGGAAUAAAAAUAUUGCCUCUGACAUUAGGGAACUGGCAUUCCCCUCCUCCACUGUUUGAAAAGCACAGACUUUAAACAGAUCUUCAUGGUCACCUCACCCCUGAUGGUGAGCAUCCACAGGAAAAAGAUUGGUCCCAGGGUAGGAUUGCAUCCUGCAAGAAGAUGCUGAAGUCCUACCCCCUAGUACCUGUGAAUGUGAGAUCGGGUCUCAUAUUCACAAAAUGUGGUACAGAGACACAAUGAAAUACUAAGCAACCGGCUGGGCAUGGCGGCCCAUGCCCAUAACCCCAGCACUUUGGGAGGCUGAGGAGGCAGAUCACCUGACGUCAGGAGUUGGAGACUAGCUUGGCCAACGUGGCAAAACCCCACCUCUACUAAAAAUACAAAAACUAGCCGGGCAUGGUGGUGCUUGCCUGUAAUCACAGCUACUCGGGAGGCUGAGGCACAAGAAUGGCUUGAACCUGGGAGGUGGAGUUUGCAGUGAGCCAAGAUUGUGCCACUGUGCUUCAGCCUGGGCAACAGAGUGAGACCCUGUCUCAAAAAACAAUGGUCAUAUUAAAAUGAGGUCAUUAGGGUAGGCCUAAUCCCAAUAUGACUGAUGUCCUUAUAAAAAGGGAAUUCUACACACAGACAGGCAAACAGAGAGAGAAGACAUUGUGAACACACAGGGAGAAUGCCGGCUACAAGCAAAGGAAUGCCUGAGCCUACUAGAAGCAAGGAGAGUAGCCGUCAGAAGAAACCAACCUUGCUGACACCUUGAUUUUCGACUUGUAGCCACUAGAACUGUCAGACAAUAAUUUUCUAUCAUGUAGGCCACCCAGUUUGUGGUACUUUGUUAUGGCAGACCAAGGAAACACAUGUAUCCUCCAUUUCUGUCUUACAUUCCAUAUGCAGUCUUUUAGCCUUUCUUGUUGGUUCCGGCUUCCAUAUUUAUCCACAAGUGUCUGCUCACCCCCUCCUCUGCUACCACUGCGCACUGUGCCUGAGUCCCUCCAUCUCUCACCUGGCUCCCUGCAGUAGCUGCCUAACCAGUCCCCCUGCUUGUACCUUGGUCUCCUCACAACCUACUUCCAACAUGGUAGCCAGAGUGGUGCUCUUAAAACAGUAGUAACUGCACUCAGAUGUUUAUCGCAGCACUAUUCAAAACAGCAAAGUCAUGGAACCAACCUAAGUGUCCACCAACAGUUAACUGGAUAAACAAAAUGUGGCACAUAGACACAGUGAAAUACUAAGCAAUCGGCCGGGCAUGGUGGCUCAUGUAUGUAAUCCCAGUACUUUAGGGGGCUGAGGAGGGCAGAUCACCUGAGGUCAGGAGUUGGAGAACAGCUUGGCCAACAUGGCGAAACCCUGUCUCUACUGAAAAUACAAAAAUUAGCCAGGCUUGGUGGUGCUUGCCUGUAAUCGCAGCUACUCGGGAGGCUGAGGCACGAGAAUAGCUUGAACCUGGGAGGUGGAGGUUGUAGUGAGCUAAGAUUGUGCCACUGCACUCCAGCCUGGGCAACAGAGUGAGACCCUGUUUGAUCACAAACUCCUGGAAGGCAAGACAUGUGUAUGUUACACAGCUCACAGGCAAACGAUUGAUAUACAAUCGGUUUUAGGAUGGAGAGAAGUUGAAGCCAACCCAGUCUGAGUGGUAAGGGUGAAAGAGAGACAUUUUAUCGUAAUAAAAGUCUUCAUUGAUUAGGAACUUAGAACAGCUCCAACA